rnacentral:rRNA from 1 species
UCAUGGCUCAGAUUGAACGCUGGCGGCAGGCCUAACACAUGCAAGUCGAGCGGAAACGACAACAUUGACCCUUCGGGUGAUUUGUUGGGCGUCGAGCGGCGGACGGGUGAGUAAUGCCUGGGAAAUUGCCCUGAUGUGGGGGAUAACCAUUGGAAACGAUGGCUAAUACCGCAUAAUGUCUACGGACCAAAGAGGGGGACCUUCGGGCCUCUCGCUUCAGGAUAUGCCCAGGUGGGAUUAGCUAGUUGGUGAGGUAAUGGCUCACCAAGGCGACGAUCCCUAGCUGGUCUGAGAGGAUGAUCAGCCACACUGGAACUGAGACACGGUCCAGACUCCUACGGGAGGCAGCAGUGGGGAAUAUUGCACAAUGGGCGCAAGCCUGAUGCAGCCAUGCCGCGUGUAUGAAGAAGGCCUUCGGGUUGUAAAGUACUUUCAGUCGUGAGGAAGGCGUUGAAGUUAAUAG